rnacentral:rRNA from 1 species
UAGGGAAUAUUGCAAAAUGGGCGAAAGCCCGAUGCAGCAACGCCGCGUGGGCGAUGAAGGCCUUCGGGUCGUAAAGCCCUUUUUGAGGGGAUGAGGAAGGACAGUACCCUCAGAAUAAGCCUGGGCUAACUACGUGCCAGCAGCCGCGGUAAAACGUAGGAGGCGAGCGUUAUCCGGAUUUACUGGGCGUAAAGCGCGUGCAGGCGGAUUGGAGAGUUGGAUGUGAAAGCUCCCGGCUUAACUGGGAGAGGUCGUUCAAUACUUCCAGUCUUGAGUGCAGUAGAGGGAAGUGGAAUUCCGGGUGUAGUGGUGAAAUGCGUAGAUAUCCGGAGGAAAACCAGUGGCGAAAGCGGCUUCCUGGACUGUAACUGACGCUCAGACGCGAAAGCUAGGGGAG